rnacentral:rRNA from 1 species
UAAAGAUUCAUCGCUGAUAGAUAGGCAUGCGUUCCAUUAGGCAGUUGGCGGGGUAACGGCCCACCAAACCGACGAUGGAUAGGGGUUCUGAGAGGAAGGUCCCCCACAUUGGUACUGAGACACGGACCAAACUCCUACGGGAGGCAGCAGUGAGGAAUAUUGGUCAAUGGGCGUAAGCCUGAACCAGCCAAGUCGCGUGAGGGAUGAAGGUUCUAUGGAUCGUAAACCUCUUUUAUAAGGGAAUAAGGUGUGGGACGUGUCCUAUUUUGUAUGUACCUUAUGAAUAAGGAUCGGCUAACUCCGUGCCAGCAGCCGCGGUAAUACGGAGGAUCCGAGCGUUAUCCGGAUUUAUUGGGUUUAAAGGGUGCGUAGGCGGCCUUUUAAGUCAGCGGUGAAAGUCUGUGGCUCAACCAUAGAAUUGCCGUUGAAACUGGGGGGCUUGAGUAUGUUUGGGGCAGGCGGAAUGCGUGGUGUAGCGGUGAAAUGCUUAGAUAUCACGCAGAACCCCGAUUGCGAAGGCAGCCUGCCAAGCCAUGACUGACGCUGAUGCACGAAAGCGUGGGGAUCAAACAGGAUUAGAUACCCUGGUAGUCCACGCAGUAAACGAUGAUCACUAGCUGUUUGCGAUACAGUGUAA